AGCCAGAAAGAACACUCUUAGCACCCUACAAGCAGGUAUGUGCUUACCAGCAAACUAAAGCAAAUGGAAAUUAAGAAGCAUGAUCACCACCAGCAAGGUGCUGCUGAACUAUAAGCCUUCAGAUGGUCAGAUAAAGUACCUGAUGCUGAAAAACAGGAAAUUGAAUCAUGUCUCCAAAAUGUGCCUUUUGUCAUGCACUGUUACAGCUAUAUUUCUUGCUCUUUAGGCCUUAAUGAUUGACAUGAUCUUGGAAAACAGGUAUGUAGCAAAACUCUCCUAGAAACCUGAAAGAUGUGGCAAGAAGAAAACAUGGAGCCUUUUCUGAACAAGCCUAUGAGAGAAGAAGAAUCACUUCAAUUUAUUAAGUGUGGAUUCUGGGGCUAAAGAACUUACCUACAACCACACAGCCAGCAAAUUACUGACCCAGCAUAUUCUGAACCCAGGUCUUUAUUCUUUCCAAAACUUCACAGCACCUUCCUCAGAGCAUCUCUACAUGAAAAUCUGUAUAAAGAAGUGAUCUGUGGUGUCGCCAUUUGUAUCAAAAUGGUAUCACAAACUUAUUUAAAAGGCUUCAUCUAAAAGUCUUCAGAGUUUUGGCCAGGGAAGAGCUCUAAUAUCACACAUUAAUAACCUUACCUUUGUAACAUGUAAAUUGUUUUUUGUUUUAACAUCUCAGUUUCAUUAAACUGAGACCAGAAAGAGCCAUCAUCUUUUUACCAAUUUGUAAUCAUUUUAUUGUGUUAUGGACCUGCAGCAAUGCUGACUAUAUUUACAAAUCUGUGAGUGAAAUUUUAAAACCAUUUUCCUCUUCUAAUCUCUCCCAUCCUGCCUUCUUAGAAGCACACAAAGCAUCUCAACCACUCCCAAAUUCCCUGUUGGAAUACCCUUAAUGAUUCUGAAAUAUUUUGUU
rnacentral:lncRNA from 1 species